rnacentral:rRNA from 1 species
UACGAGUACCCCAAGCGUUACCCGGAAUCAUUGGGCGUAAAGGGUGUGUAGGUGGUAGCGUUAGUCUUCUGUCAAAUUCUUCGGCUUAACCGGGGUCUUGCAGGGGAAACGGCGCUACUCGAGGGUGCGAGAGGUGAAUGGAACUCAUGGAGUAGGGGUGAAAUCCGUUGAUAUCAUGGGGAACACCGAAAGCGAAGGCAAUUCACUGGCGCAUUUCUGACACUGAGACACGAAAGCGUGGGUAGCGAACGGG